rnacentral:rRNA from 1 species
GAUGAACGCUGGCGGCGUGCCUAAUACAUGCAAGUCGAGCGAACAGACGAGGAGCUUGCUCCUCUGACGUUAGCGGCGGACGGGUGAGUAACACGUGGAUAACCUACCUAUAAGACUGGGAUAACUUCGGGAAACCGGAGCUAAUACCGGAUAAUAUAUUGAACCGCAUGGUUCAAUAGUGAAAGACGGUUUUGCUGUCACUUAUAGAUGGAUCCGCGCCGCAUUAGCUAGUUGGUAAGGUAACGGCUUACCAAGGCGACGAUGCGUAGCCGAGCUGAGAGGGUGAUCGGCCACACUGGAACUGAGACACGGUCCAGACUCCUACGGGAGGCAGCAGUAGGGAAUCUUCCGCAAUGGGCGAAAGCCUGACGGAGCAACGCCGCGUGAGUGAUGAAGGUCUUCGGAUCGUAAAACUCUGUUAUUAGGGAAGAACAAAUGUGUAAGUAACUAUGCACGUCUUGACGGUACCUAAUCAGAAAGCCACGGCUAACUACGUG